rnacentral:rRNA from 1 species
AUAAUGGGUCAGCGACUUACGUUCAGUAGCAAGCUUAACCGUAUAGGGCAGGCGUAGCGAAAGCGAGUCCGAAUAGGGCGUUCAGUUGCUGGGCGUAGACCCGAAACCAGGUGAUCUAUCCAUGGCCAGGAUGAAGGUGCGGUAACACGUACUGGAGGUCCGAACCCACUAACGUUGAAAAGUUAGGGGAUGAGCUGUGGAUAGGGGUGAAAGGCUAAACAAACCUGGAAAUAGCUGGUUCUCUCCGAAAACUAUUUAGGUAGUGCCUCGUGUCUCACCUUCGGGGGUAGAGCACUGUCAUGGUUGGGGGGUCUAUUGCAGAUUACCCCGCCAUAGCAAACUCCGAAUACCGAAGAGUGCAAUCACGGGAGACAGACAUCGGGUGCUAACGUCCGGUGUCAAGAGGGAAACAACCCAGACCGCCAGCUAAGGUCCCCAAAUAUGGCUAAGUGGGAAACGAAGUGGGAAGGCUAAAACAGUCAGGAGGUUGGCUUAGAAGCAGCCACCCUUUAAAGAAAGCGUAAUAGCUCACUGAUCGAGUCGUCCUGCGCGGAAGAUGUAACGGGGCUAAGCCAUAUACCGAAGCUGCGGAUGCGUGCUUGCACGCAUGGUAGGAGAGCGUUCCGUAAGCCUGCGAAGGUGUCUUGUAAAGGAUGCUGGAGGUAUCGGAAGUGCGAAUGCUGACAUGAGUAGCGAUAAAGGGGGUGAAAGGCCCCCUCGCCGUAAGCCCAAGGUUUCCUACGCAACGUUCAUCGGCGUAGGGUGAGUCGGCCCCUAAGGCGAGGCAGAAAUGCGUAGCUGAUGGGAAGCAGGUCAAUAUUCCUGCACCGUCGUUAGAUGCGAUGGGGGGACGGAUCGCGGAAGGUUGUCCGGGUGUUGGACGUCCCGGUCGCUGCAUUGGAGAAGGCGCUUAGGCAAAUCCGGGCGCAGGAUUCAAGGGUGUGGCGCGAGCGACUUCGGUCGCGAAGCAAUUGGAAGUGGUUCCAAGAAAAGCCUCUAAGCUUCAGUCUAACGAUGACCGUACCGCAAACCGACACAGGUGGGCGAGAUGAGUAUUCUAAGGCGCUUGAGAGAACUCGGGAGAAGGAACUCGGCAAAUUGGUACCGUAACUUCGGGAUAAGGUACGCCCUUGUAGCUUGACCAGCCUGCGCUGGAAGGGUGAAGGGGUUGCAAUAAACUGGUGGCUGCGACUGUUUAAUAAAAACACAGCACUCUGCAAACACGAAAGUGGACGUAUAGGGUGUGACGCCUGCCCGGUGCCGGAAGAUUAAAUGAUGGGGUGCAAGCUCUUGAUUGAAGUCCCGGUAAACGGCGGCCGUAACUAUAACGGUCCUAAGGUAGCGAAAUUCCUUGUCGGGUAAGUUCCGACCUGCACGAAUGGCGUAACGAUGGCCACACUGUCUCCUCCCGAGACUCAGCGAAGUUGAAGUGUUUGUGAUGAUGCAAUCUACCCGCGGCUAGACGGAGAGACCCCAUGAACCUUUACUGUAGCUUUGCAUUGGACUUUGAACCGAUCUGUGUAGGAUAGGUGGGAGGCUAUGAAACCGGAACGCUAGUUUCGGUGGAGCCGUCCUUGAAAUACCACCCUGGUUUGUUUGAGGUUCUAACCUUGGUCCGUGAUCCGGAUCGGGGACAGUGCAUGGUAGGCAGUUUGACUGGGGCGGUCUCCUCCCAAAGGGUAACGGAGGAGUACGAAGGUACGCUAGGUACGGUCGGAAAUCGUGCUGAUAGUGCAAUGGCAUAAGCGUGCUUAACUGCGAGACCGACAAGUCGAGCAGGUGCGAAAGCAGGUCAUAGUGAUCCGGUGGUUCUGUAUGGAAGGGCCAUCGCUCAACGGAUAAAAGGUACUCUGGGGAUAACAGGCUGAUACCGCCCAAGAGUUCAUAUCGACGGCGGUGUUUGGCACCUCGAUGUCGGCUCAUCUCAUCCUGGGGCUGUAGCCGGUCCCAAGGGUAUGGCUGUUCGCCAUUUAAAGAGGUACGUGAGCUGGGUUUAAAACGUCGUGAGACAGUUUGGUCCCUAUCUGCCGUGGGCGUUGGAUAUUUGAAGGGGGCUGCUCCUAGUACGAGAGGACCGGAGUGGACGAACCUCUGGUGUACCGGUUGUGACGCCAGUCGCAUCGCCGGGU